rnacentral:rRNA from 1 species
UACGUAGGGUGCGAGCGUUGUCCGGAAUUAUUGGGCGUAAAGAGCUCGUAGGCGGCUUGUCACGUCGGAUGUGAAAGCCCGGGGCUUAACUCCGGGUCUGCAUUCGAUACGGGCAGGCUAGAGUUCGGUAGGGGAGAUCGGAAUUCCUGGUGUAGCGGUGAAAUGCGCAGAUAUCAGGAGGAACACCGGUGGCGAAGGCGGAUCUCUGGGCCGAUACUGAUGCUGAGGAGCGAAAGCGUGGGGAGCGAACAGG